GGAUCUGCUUAACAACGCAUUAUGGUCACAUAGCACUUAGCAGGAAGGUCUACAGUUUUGCCCUGUUGUACUAAAAUUCAUUGCUGGAGUAGAAAAGUCGAUUUUUUUCUGCUGUUCCUCCAGAAAUUGAAGAGUAGGUAGCAAAGCUGUAAACCUUUGCUCAAAGGGACAAUACAGUGCUGACAUGAACCAGAUUCUCUAGGUGAUUACAAUCCUUAGUACAAAGCCUCCGCCAGCGUUAUUUCUAGCUGACUCUCGCUAACUCAAGCUCCGAUCAAGUGUAUUUAAGUAGAUUCUACUGACUAGGCUGCACAUCUUUAGACCAACACCAUCAGGCGUGUGGGCUGUUCACCUUGACGUCACCAUAGGGAAAUCAACUUGUGAGAGAAUGCCGCAUUCAGAGGAGCAGAGCUCAACGGACGGGAAAAAGUUGAGGAAGAAAAGGAGCAGAUCCAGCAGUCCCAGAAGAGGGUCCUCAUGUUACGAGAACACAGACCAAGGAGUUCGGAUCGACGUGUACCUGGCCGUCACAUUGUUUGCCAUCGCUGUGGUGUUCAUCAAGAUCUUGCCCAAGUAUUGAGCUCCCACUGACCAGUCAGCUUCUUCAAUGUAACCUCCCUGUCCAGAGCUUAGACCCCAGUUGGACCGGCGGUGUUGUCGCUCAGCCAUCUUUGCUGGCUCAAAAAUGACUCAACGGCUUUAGCUGUAAAGGAAUGUAUAUCACUUUAGUCCUGUGUACCUGUAUCCGCAGCAUGCGACUUUUAAAAUAUGGAUCUCUUCCAGCCCACAUUUGAAUUGUUUUGUUUAAGGCCACUGCCUUGCCAACUGGCGACCUCUCUCUCGCUCAACGAUUCGUCUGCUGCAAAGUCUAGAACAAGUUGCUGAAUCCCUAUGUUGUCUAUACAAAUAAUAUUAUUGCUUCGUAGACUGAGUAUAAAUCAACUGUCAAUAAAACAGCUAAUAUGGU